CGAGUCUUAACUGGGCGUUAAGUUGCAGGGUAUAGACCCGAAACCCGGUGAUCUAGCCAUGGGCAGGUUGAAGGUUGGGUAACACUAACUGGAGGACCGAACCGACUAAUGUUGAAAAAUUAGCGGAUGACUUGUGGCUGGGGGUGAAAGGCCAAUCAAACCGGGAGAUAGCUGGUUCUCCCCGAAAGCUAUUUAGGUAGCGCCUCGUGAAUUCAUCUCCGGGGGUAGAGCACUGUUUCGGCAAGGGGGUCAUCCCGACUUACCAACCCGAUGCAAACUGCGAAUACCGGAGAAUGUUAUCACGGGAGACACACGGCGGGUGCUAACGUCCGUCGUGAAGAGGGAAACAACCCAGACCGCCAGCUAAGGUCCCAAAGUCAUGGUUAAGUGGGAAACGAUGUGGGAAGGCCCAGACAGCCAGGAUGUUGGCUUAGAAGCAGCCAUCAUUUAAAGAAAGCGUAAUAGCUCACUGGUCGAGUCGGCCUGCGCGGAAGAUGUAACGGGGCUAAACCAUGCACCGAAGCUGCGGCAGCGACACUAUGUGUUGUUGGGUAGGGGAGCGUUCUGUAAGCCUGUGAAGGUGGCCUGUGAGGGUUGCUGGAGGUAUCAGAAGUGCGAAUGCUGACAUAAGUAACGAUAAAGCGGGUGAAAAGCCCGCUCGCCGGAAGACCAAGGGUUCCUGUCCAACGUUAAUCGGGGCAGGGUGAGUCGACCCCUAAGGCGAGGCCGAAAGGCGUAGUCGAUGGGAAACAGGUUAAUAUUCCUGUACUUGGUGUUACUGCGAAGGGGGGACGGAGAAGGCUAUGUUGGCCGGGCGACGGUUGUCCCGGUUUAAGCGUGUAGGCUGGUUUUCCAGGCAAAUCCGGAAAACCAAGGCUGAGGCGUGAUGACGAGGCACUACGGUGCUGAAGCGACAAAUGCCCUGCUUCCAGGAAAAGCCUCUAAGCAUCAGGUAACAUCAAAUCGUACCCCAAACCGACACAGGUGGUCAGGUAGAGAAUACCAAGGCGCUUGAGAGAACUCGGGUGAAGGAACUAGGCAAAAUGGUGCCGUAACUUCGGGAGAAGGCACGCUGAUAUGUAGGUGAAGCGACUUGCUCGUGGAGCUGAAAUCAGUCGAAGAUACCAGCUGGCUGCAACUGUUUAUUAAAAACACAGCACUGUGCAAACACGAAAGUGGACGUAUACGGUGUGACGCCUGCCCGGUGCCGGAAGGUUAAUUGAUGGGGUUAGCGGUAACGCGAAGCUCUUGAUCGAAGCCCCGGUAAACGGCGGCCGUAACUAUAACGGUCCUAAGGUAGCGAAAUUCCUUGUCGGGUAAGUUCCGACCUGCACGAAUGGCGUAAUGAUGGCCAGGCUGUCUCCAC
rnacentral:rRNA from 1 species